rnacentral:rRNA from 1 species
CACGUAGGGGGCGAGCGUUGUCCGGAAUCAUUGGGCGUAAAGAGCGUGUAGGCGGUUCGGUAAGUCGGCUGUGAAAGUCCAGGGCUCAACCCUGGGAUGCCGGUCGAUACUGCCGGACUAGAGUUCGGAAGAGGCGAGUGGAAUUCCCGGUGUAGCGGUGAAAUGCGCAGAUAUCGGGAGGAACACCUAUGGCGAAGGCAGCUCGCUGGGACGUUACUGACGCUGAGACGCGAAAGCCAGGGGAGCGAACGGG